rnacentral:rRNA from 1 species
CUGCAGCAAGCGAUGAUAAGGAGCUUGCUCCUUUGAUUUAGCGGCGGACGGGUGAGUAACACGUGGGUAACCUACCCUAUAGACUGGGAUAACUUCGGGAAACCGGAGCUAAUACCGGAUAAUACUUCGAAACACAUUGUUUUGAAGUUGAAAGAUGGUUUCGGCUAUCACUAUAGGAUGGACCCGCGGGCGCAUUAGCUAGUUGGUGGGGUAAUGGCUCACCAAGGCAACGAUGCGUAUCCGACCUGAGAGGGUGAUCGGCCACACUGGGACUGAGACACGGCCUAGACUCCUACGGGAGGUAGCAGUAGGGAAUCUUCCACAAUGGACGAAAGUCUGAUGGAGCAACGCCGCGUGAGUGAAGAAGGAUUUCGGUUCGUAAAACUCUGUUGCAAGGGAAGAACAAGUAGCGUAGUAACUGGCGCUACCUUGACGGUACCUUGUUAGAAAGCCACGGCUAACUACGUGCCAGCAGCCGCGGUAAUACAUAGGUGGCAAGCGUUGUCCGGAAUUAUUGGGCGUAAAGCGCGCGCAGGUGGUUCCUUAAGUCUGAUGUGAAAGCCCCCGGCUCAACCGGGGAGGGUCAUUGGAAACUGGGGAACUUGAGUGCAGAAGAGGAUAGUGGAAUUCCAAGUGUAGCGGUGAAAUGCGUAGAGAUUUGGAGGAACACCAGUGGCGAAGGCGACUAUCUGGUCUGUAACUGACACUGAGGCGCGAAAGCGUGGGGAGCAAACAGGAUUAGAUACCCUGGUAGUCCACGCCGUAAACGAUGAGUGCUAAGUGUUGGGGGGUUUCCGCCCCUCAGUGCUGCAGCUAACGCAUUAAGCACUCCGCCUGGGGAGUACGGUCGCAAGACUGAAACUCAAAGGAAUUGACGGGGGCCCGCACAAGCGGUGGAGCAUGUGGUUUAAUUCGAAGCAACGCGAAGAACCUUACCAGGUCUUGACAUCCCAUUGACCACUGUAGAGAUACAGUUUUCCCUUCGGGGACAACGGUGACAGG